rnacentral:ribozyme from 1 species
AUAUAUCCAGCAAGUUGACACCCACGAACAACACAACCACGAAUUACCAAAAACAAGCUUAUAAAGCUCGUCGGAGUCCCGUUUUAGGAAAAUAUUAUCGAUAGAAUUACUUUUGUCACUUUUUUUUUUUUCUUUUUCCCUUCUUCUCUCUCUCUCAACUCUAUUGUUUCAUCUUAAAGAAAA